rnacentral:misc_RNA from 1 species
AAUAAAUUGCAAGAACUAUAAAUGCAAGUCACAAUAAAAAUAAAAUAGUGAAACCGAUAUAUAACAGUUUCGUUGUAAAUGUUGAUUAUUAUGUUUUUAUUGCCCUUAUCUUAGGGGCGAUGCCUGGGAGUCCUCAACUCUUCAACCAAAUCAUUCAAAUUAGAGUAUGUGGAUCCACCUUCUUCAACAGCUUUUCUUGCCAUUUCUCCAAGCUUCCUUGCUCUUCUCCUCAUUUCUUCUGCUUGGCCACUCACCAUGACCUCAGUAAUUGCCGUCUCUAUAGCUUCGCUUUUAACAUGCUCUCCAUGCACAGCAACCCAUUCCUUAACGCCCACACCUAUCCCAAUCUGUAAAACCUCACUCACCAACUUCUCGUUGUAGAAAUGAUCAGCGAAUACUGGCCAUGUCACCAUUGGCUUCCCUGAAGUUAUAGCUUCAAGUACAGAACCCCAUCCACAAUGAGUCAAAAAUCCUCCUAUAGCUUCAUGAUCUAGAAUCAACACUUGUGGAGCCCAACCUCUUAUUAUGAGUCCUGUCCCCCCCAUUCUUUCUUCAAAUCCUUUAGGUAACCAAUCUUCUUCAUCUUCUUGAUUUUUCUUGUCUCUCCUCACUACCCAAAUGAAU